rnacentral:lncRNA from 1 species
UGCAUCAAACUUAUUGUCAAUUAGUUAAGGGGUCCGCGCGAAGCGGCGGAAAACCAAUACAAUAAUAAAUUAUUAAAACUAUUAACAUCAUUUUUUUUUCUAUUAUGUAUUAAUAUUUUUAAAUAUUAAUUAUUUAUCUUCGUAUUGAAUAAUUAAAAAUUAAAGAAUAAAUUAAAGAAUGAAAUUAAAGUAUAUUUAUUUUCAAAAAUAUUUAAACCUAAUAAGUAAAAUGAAUAAAUCACUUUAAAAUAAAACAACAACUCAUUUCAGUAUUAAAAAAGAUAAAUAAUAUUUAUCUUUUAUCUAUUAUCAUUAAGGUAGAAUUUACAAAAAAAAUAAAUAAAUAAAUAAAGUAGAGUGAAAGUACUAUCUUUGGUAUUCUUAGCGGCAACGUCUUCAUUGUGCCCUCAUUAAUUUUUAUCGUUACACAUACAACCAAAAGUAUUUGAUUUUUAAAUUUUAAAUUGGUAAAGAAAUCAGUAGGUAAUUAUCAGACGUACAAAAAAUAAUACUAAUCAAAAGGCAUUUGAAAUCAAAAUAGAUAUUUUUUUACACUGUAAAAAAAUUCAACUAUCAAAUUUUAUAUUA